rnacentral:rRNA from 1 species
UACAGAGGUCUCAAGCGUUGUUCGGAUUCAUUGGGCGUAAAGGGUGCGUAGGCGGCGCGGUAAGUCGGGUGUGAAAUCUCGGAGCUUAACUCCGAAACUGCAUUCGAUACUGCCGUGCUUGAGGACUGGAGAGGAGACUGGAAUUUACGGUGUAGCGGUGAAAUGCGUAGAUAUCGUAAGGAAGACCAGUGGCGAAGGCGGGUCUCUGGAAAAUACCUGACACUGAGGCACGAAAGCUAGGGGAGCAAACAGG